GCACUGCAGCGAUCCUGCAGAGGCAGUCCUUAGCUGGCGUCAGACUUGCGGCUGGAGCCACGGCUGGUGUGCCUGGUGUCCAGUGCCACCUUGGCCUGCUGCUGCCACCCUGGCGCCGCGAACUCUGUGCCGACGCUCCCUCCACCCUGUCUUGGGACGGCCGGCACUAAAAAUUCAUGCUGCGAUACUCGAUUCAGCCAGGAGGUGACAAUAAUUGCGAUUAGAAGCCAUUCCACUGGUGAAGACGUACAUUGAGCCCUGCCUGCCCCAGCGAGGUUACGAGACAAUUAGGAGAGGCUCAAAUCAGCAUCGUGCACGUGGUUGUGAAACCAUUGUGAAGUCUUGGUUCAGCUUUGGACAUCCAGGCCCCUCUGCAUUCAGCUCUUUAGCCUCCAUUUGACUUCGCAUUUCGUGCGCUGCGGAGUUAAGUCAGGAAAGAAAACGGCUGUGCACAGAGGGAGAGCCGAGCACGGUCUGUCCUUCAGCGACACCCCUGCGGCAGGGUAGGAGGAGGGUGGGCUUUGGGGGUCAGACCUGCGACUCCAGUGUUCAUUGCGGCCUUUUGGAAAGUCAGGCUUGACUCCUUUUUCAGUAAAAAAACAAAAAACAAAAUCCCUUUGGGAUUGAGAAUCUUUCCUAUUCAUUGGCUCUUGAAGUUUUGAAAUUUCUAGCCCUUAAGUUUCUUCAGGUUUAAGUUAAAUUCACGUACGUGUGAACCUUUUCAGUUGUAGUGUGCAUAAGUCCUUUCCCCAGACACGGUACUGGGAUCAUUUUGUUACCUGGCAACAUGGCCCCUGUGAGAAUAGCAUCCUGGACGAGGGCCCCAGAUUCAUGGAUAGUUGCUGUGUCAGGCACUGUUCAUAUAUGAAGGCGUUUAAUACUGACAGUAACGCUUUCCUUAAGGUUCUAUGAGUAUUAUUAUGUAUAAUUGAUAGAUGGGGGAAUUGAGGCAGCUUACACAGUUUAGGUGACUUGUCCAAGGUCACACAGCAAGUCAUUUGCAGAGCAGGGGUUUGUACAAACACUACAGGGUCCACACUCUUAGCCCCUCAGAUACUCCUGUUUCAGUCUCCUUUCCCAGGCAAUGCACUUAUCAUUCCUUCUUGCCUCUUUCAUUUGUCUAAUUUGAGUUUGACACUCUUCUUUUUUAAAAUAGGGUUCCUUCUCACCUUCUCCUUCUCUAGUUGUUCAUAUUCACAGUUUAACCACCUGCCUAGAAAAGGUGGCAGGCUAUCCAAUAAAGAAAUCCUCAUGGAAUGAUCAGCAAAGCAGACGGGGUGAGCGUGUGGGCACUUUAUUCGUCUUGUGAUAUAGAUGUGUGGGGUGGCAGUUCUGGUCUCCUGGGAUCCUGGGCGCGUCAGUGACUAGCUAUAGUUUGUGACAUGAUACAGGGUGCUUCUGUGUGCUGCUUUUUGGGGUCCAGGUCUAGAGCUGGACAACUGAGGGGCUUUGUGGAGCCUUAAGAAGGAGUCAUGUGGCCCUUGGUGACUCAUUUUACCUCUUCCAAGGUGGCUGUGUGUGCUGGGCUGAGUGUCGAAGGCUUCUUCUUUGGGCUCUGGCUUCUGCUCUGUGCCUUGCCUCCCCAUCAUCUUCAGUCUGUGACUUAGGUUAGUCUGUCCAGGAAGUCACUUUGUUUCACCCUGGUCCCCUAAGGACGUCAAAUACCAGGAACUAUAAUCACUUCCAUGUAUCCUGCCGCGGGAUGCCUCGUUUUCCCCUUACGCCACACCAUAAGGUAGAUUUCAGCAGAAUCUGGGACGUGCCGGCAGAUCCAAGGAGCAGGGUGCUAGGACGACGUUUGCGUUUUUACACUUGGCGUUAUUACACUUUCCCAUGGUCAACGACCUGUCACUGCUUCGGCAUAGUGCUUUGAAGAAAUCAAGCAUCAGUCCAAGAAGAAAUGUGAUCACAGCAGCUGUCUUCACAUCACCACAUCUCCCUGGCAAGACCCAGCCGCACCUCUGCCCCCUUAAUGCCGGUCCCAGUUGUGUGUAUUUUGGGGUUCACUGAUGGCGUAUGCUCUGGGUGAAUUCAAGCACUGGGAGAUGGACCACUUCUGGCUGUCAUUUAGAAAAGUGGAGAAGGGGUGGUUUCCUGUAAUGUCAGGCUGAUGGGGAGCAGCAUGCAAGGGAGGGUAUAUACCCUGCAGGAAUCAGCACACAGGUUUUUGUCACCGAUCAAGUAUACCCCCCCCAAGUCAGCUAUGGCUACCCCUCUAUUACUCAGCCUUAUCCAGCAAGCACUGUGGUUAUUAGCAAUGACUUUGAAAACAGUUAUUCCUUUCACACUUCCCUGUUUCACUCCUAAAGUGCUCAGUAUGUUGCAAAUGGAGUUUUGGGACCAUCAUCUUUACAUAUAAGUCCCAACCUGAGAUGCCUCGGUUAUUGUAUCCAGUGUCCUGCCAGUGUGUUCUAAGUACCUAGGACUGGGCUCAAUUUGGGAGAAGGGUGGGGAAUCAGGAGUAUUAAGAUCUGAAAGACUGUGGAUUUCGCAUUCCUCAAAGAAUCUCAUUGUCGGGUAAAUGCAGGACAUUUAAACAGCAAAUAUAAAUAACUAGGGACAUAGUCAUUCCCUCGAAGCACGUAGUUCCCAUGCUUUCCACUUGAAGUUAAGAGCAGUUAAGUAAAUGCAGUAGUGCAGUCUUAUGGAAUGCCGUACCUGUGUUACGACCAGACACGUGUUGAAGGAUGUAGUGACAUGGUUUUCAGUCAGAAGAAUCGCUGCGCCCACUGAACUCCAGAAUAACUGGGAACGAGUUGGUGAUGAGAGAACAAAGACUGCCUUCGUUGGGAGGAGGACUGAGCCUGACCCCGUCUGUCUGUGGUGCUUGGUGCCGCCCUCAGGAAUGGAUGAAGGUAACCUUGGUUCCUGCCUGCCACAGAGGCCAGUGCCCCUUGUGUUAUUUGUCCUUUGCAUGAGGUGCGCUUCCUGUACUUAUUUUUUAAAAGGGCCCUAAAGCUUCCUUUGCACUUUGAUUCACAUCUCACCAUCAACUACAUAUUAAAAUCUCUCAACAAAGAAGAGCUUUGCAAGCUUUAAAAAUGACAUGCUGGCAAAGGUGGGAAUAAAACUGACUUCCGAUUCAUCCAUUUUAGACUCCAGAAAAAAAAAAAGCAUUUUAAAGUGAAAAGCAUUGCUGUUAGUAUGGGCAGCUCUCCACAAAAUGGGUGGGGGAAUAAAUUCUUUUCGCUGUGACCUUGGAGUGUGGGUGGGAUUCAUGAAUACACUUUCCUGCUGAGCUGUUUCAGUCAUCCGGAGGAGCGCAGAAGAUUUGUCAUCUUCAGAAGGUAAGGUCGGUUUGCUGCCAUUGCUACCUGGCAUGUGAACUACAAACAGGUCUCUCUAGAGUCCGUCCUACACCCUAUCCACACAAAGCCUCUUCCUAGGACCUCGCAGCCCCCCAUCCACACCCAGCACAAAGAAGAAAUCAGAAUGGCAACAAUGUCAUGUAGGCAGUGAAAUUCGUUGAUGCCUAAUUAGUAUCAGUGCAUAUCUUCCAUGUCGUUACUACCUGAAAAGGCUCUGAUACAAUUUUGUCACUGUAGUGCCCUUUGGGAACUAUAUGUUGGCAAUACCAUCUCUCGGCACUGCUUUAAGGACAUUUUUCCUAUUAGUGGACAGGAAGGUCUAGUGUAGCUCUAGCACUUUCUGUCUUAGUCAAGUGGGGGGCCUCUGAAUGCUGUGCUUCUCAACUAUCCCCUGAAGGGCUUGGUUGAAUUUUCAGAGUGAGUUUCUAUUAAUACUGUCAUUAGCCAUUGCUAUUCCUUUUAAGCAUUCUGUCUAGGCCAUAUGACUUAAAUUUCCAUAAAGUCAAGGUUAUGCUGACAAUUCCCUACACUAAUAGUGCAGGUAAGCUUUCUUAGCCGUUUUUGAUAAAUGUCUUUGGAGUGUUGGUUUCUUGAAAGCAUGUUGAUGCCCUUUUCUAAUUGUCCACUUGCCUCUCCUAAGGAAGCUCCUGUAGACACUGCUUUAUUGUCGCAUUAGCGACAGUCAGUGCUGGGGAAAUGCUGUCCCGAAAAAAAUCUUACACAUGCUGGAGACCCUUAGAAACUUGUCAAGUUCUCACUACAAAUACCACUGGAAUUGAAAUUGGAAUGGCAUCGAAUGUAUAGGUUAACUUUUGGAGAGCUAUCGUCUUUAUACUCUUCUCAUAUAUGCUUCUUCUCUCUGCUGCCUUUUGAGCUGCCAGGCACUGUGCUGGGUGAUGGGGAUAUGGAGACGAACUAGACAGUCCCUGCCCUCAAGGACUUCUCAGUUUAGUGAGAGUUCGACAUGUACACAGAUCAUCACAACAGAAUGUUAUGCUCUACAAUGCAGGUAUGUACAACGUAUUAAUGGGGCUCAGAAGACUAGUCAUUUGACUGAGUCUGGAGAUGCUAGAGGUUGCAGGAACUAGUGCUUACGUUCAUUCUUAAAAGAAGUAAAGGUUGACCGAGCAGAAAACAGAGGGAAGGACAUUCUAAGCAGAGGGAUAGACAUUGGAAAUAGAAUAAUGAAUUAGGGGAACUACAAGUGGUUCAUGAAAUUAGGUUGGAAAUGUAGGCUGAUAAUAGAUUCUUAUAUAGCACGCCAUAAAAUUUAGAUUUCAUUUUGAGUGUUUUAAGAAGGGGAAGCUUUUGAUAGUCACUCUGGCAGUAGUAUGGAGUAUGUUCUGGAAGAUUUUCAAAUCUGGACAGGGAGAUCAGUUCGAGGAAAUUACAGUAGUUAAGAUGAUACAUGAUCUAAGGCCACAAGAAAUGGGAGUGGAGAAGGGAUAAGCUCUUAAAUAAGAGAUCAUAAAAACACAGGUAUAAUAGAACAUGGGAAAAUUAAGGUGGUAAAGAGGGAAAACUCAAGGCUUUCAGACUUUUGCAAAUGUGCCCCCUCCUACCACCAGCCCUGGUCUUGAUGGGAGAUCCUCUGAUGAUCUUUAGAUGAGUGUUGCUGUUAUUGGCUCCUUCUAGACUAGGGCUUGGCUGUAUAGAUUUUGUAAGUUUCUUUGGGGGGUGGGGGCAGCCAUAUAGGAAAUGUUCAUUCUCAGGAAAACACCUGAACAGCUGCAGGCUUCUUAUCGUAUUACUAAGUUCCUGGUCCUUCUCAUCAAUAGCAGGAUUACUCUCACUGCACAUGUCAACCAAAGCACUUUUUAACAAAAGUGGGGGCUUUUCUAUAUAAAACCCACUCAGGGAAGAAAUGGCCUUAGUUAUUACUGUGUCAAUAACUUUAUUUUGCUUAGGGAUUUAAAAAUGUUUAUGGUCACAACACCGAGUGAAAAAUACAUUCAAUAAUCGAAAACCUAAACAUAUCCAGUGUUUAUCUCUUUUCUCAAAGCCAUAUAAACAGUGUUCUUUGGGAAAGUCUCCACUUAAGGCUCAGAGCAGUGACCCUGGGGAUUCAGAGAAUGUCUUUCUGUGACUAGAAUGAUUAAUGGGAGAUUAUAUUUAAGCAGGCCUUCUGCAUUUUUAGUGGACCUUAUGUGACUAACCACCGUGAAGGGGACUAGGAGGAAGAAGGGUUGGGACAGAGAGAAUUUGGGCCUUGGGGGGACUAGAUAGACUGGGCUCUAAUCUGCUCUGACACGUUUUCACCUUGAAUGCAAAAUAGGGUUAAUCUUUUUGUAGUGAUUUUAGUGAAUGGGGGUGGGAGGGACUGUAAGGAUUUAAUGAGACUAUUUAUGUGAAUUGCUUAGAACAGGUCUAGAAUAUGAUGCUGAUAAUGAUGUUAACCAUGACAAGGAUAAAAGCAGACGUAACUAGAGGGUGCUUGUACUUGACAUUGUCAAAUAGGUUGUGAAAGCAGAUGAAUUUCGUCCAUGCCCUGCUUGCUAACGUGUUGCCUUUGUUCUUAUUUCCAAAUAGAAAGCUGUCGAAAAGUUGUGUAACACCUCAAUAGGGGUUGUCUUAAAAACAUAGACAAAUGCUUUGGAAUUGGUCAAAACUGGAUUUGAAACGUGACUCAACUGCUUACUAGCCGUGUGAUCUAAGGCGUUACUUAACUUCGUUGAACUUCAGUUUCUGCAUCUAAUACAAUACCUAAUCCGCAGGGUUUCCAUGAGGAUAUUUGUAAAGUGUAUGCCAUAAGCACUCUAUAAAUUACAGCUAUUAUUGUUAGUUCUUGGACACUCACCACGUGACAGAAAAAAAACAGCAGGCCCUGGUGGCUGGGAGGACUUCAUGGAUCCAACAGCAGCCUGGAGUUGUGCUCUGAAGAAAUCGUACUCGGAUGGAUAUAAUACAACCUGCUAAGUGUCCUAGCACUUAGCAGGUUGUAUUAUCAUUGUCCGUGUCUAUGGCUCUCGUCUACCAGACUCCAAAUUCCUUAUGGGCAAGGACAGUGCCUUAUUCAUCUUUGUAUUCGCAGUGCCUAAUCCAGUGCACAUUGUAGGUCUCAUUAAAUGUUUGUUGAAUGAAAAAAUGAAUCAUCAACAGACAUUAAUUGGGCGCCUGCUCUGUGAUCUCCAUGGGCUGAACUUCUCCCCGCCAGUUGCCUACAACGUUCCAAGCUGCCUUCAAUAUGCUUUCUCCCGAAGCUUACUCCUGUCUUCUAAUUCUUUUGCGGAGGAUUUUUCUGUGUAGUGCAAACAUAGCAAAUAUACUUCAUCUCAAGGACCAUCUCCAAUUGAUUGAUAGUGUUUUCUAAAAAGGGUUCUGAAGCCAGGUUUCAGCUCAGUGUGAGCGGGCUUAUAAUUCAUUAGUGAUGUUUGCUGAGGGUGGGGAAAAGGGGAGCAAUGAUACAAAUGCCACACACAUGUCAUUUAAUGUUGUGUUUUCCAUAAAACACUCUUGUUUCUAUGCCUGCGUUUUCGUCAUGGCUACUUGCAGAUGUAGCAUGGCUGCUGCUGCUGCUAGCGAUCGCUGCCAGGUGUUCCUUGCGUAGGACCAGACUGACUGCUGAUCGGCAACAUCCUCCUCGGCCUGGAAUUUGUUCCUGUGGCUGGUACUCACAAUUUCCCCCUUGCAGCUUUACCGCAGCCAUCCCCUUCCCUACACUGACAGGUAGGCCUCCACUUUCUGUUCAGCACUCAACAGGCUCAUAUUCCCGUUGUCUUCCUUAGUGUGAUCAGUGAUUAUUGGUCCAUGGAAAGCUUUCUUUGUGUUAGAAGAUAUGACCAUUAGAAUAUAAGUUAAACCAUUCUGCCAGAGCCCUACAGUGAGUCAUCUAAGCUCUGUGUGAAUAGGGAGAAAAUGGAACGUGCUAGCAGACAGGGGCAGGAAGAACUUAGAAGGGAGUCAUUGUAGAUGUGAGACAGAGAGGUGAUAACAGAAGGAAUAAGAUCCUGAAAGAUGAUGAGGGCAGGGGUGGGAGGGGGAAAGACCUAUGUCUCUAGAACGUGGCUGGAGGAUUAGCCCGAGGUGAAAGGAGGUACCUGUUCACUGGAGCAGACAGAGUCAGGGAUAGCAAGGACACCUAAUAAUUGUAUAAGUAAAUGCUGAAGAGCAAGGUGAGCCAGAGUUUCCAAGAAAUAUCCAAAAUGUCCAGCCCAAAGGCUGGAGUGAGGCCAACAGCAGAGCUGCUGUUAUAUCAAAGUGAGAAACCAGUUUCAAACUUGCUUAGAAACACAGGAAAAUAUCAAGUGUUCUUGGGCCAUGGUCACAGGCAAUGUUUGGUUGUCUGGGCCUGACCUUGACUGAUUGAAGAGUAGACAGCUAGCAAGAGGACUUACCCAGAAAA